GAUGAACGCUGGCGGCGUGCCUAAUACAUGCAAGUCGAACGAAACUUCUUUAUCACCGAGUGCUUGCACUCACCGAUAAAGAGUUGAGUGGCGAACGGGUGAGUAACACGUGGGCAACCUGCCCCAAAGAGGGGGAUAACACUUGGAAACAGGUGCUAAUACCGCAUAACCAUAGUUACCGCAUGGUAACUAUGUAAAAGGUGGCUAUACUACCGCUUUUGGAUGGGCCCGCGGCGCAUUAGCUAGUUGGUAGGGUAAAGGCUUACCAAGGCAAUGAUGCGUAGCCGAAUUGAGAGGUUGAUCGGCCACAUUGGGACUGAGACACGACCCAAACUCCUACGGGAGGCAGCAGUAGGGAAUCUUCCACAAAGGGCGAAAGCCUGAUGGAGCAACGCCGCGUGGGUGAAGAAGGUCUUCGGAUCGUAAAACCCUGUUGUUAGAGAAGAAAGUGCGUGAGAGUAACUGUUCACGUUUCGACGGUAUCUAACCAGAAAGCCACUGCUAACUACGUG
rnacentral:rRNA from 1 species